AAGGUCAUCUCCAUUGGUAA
rnacentral:snRNA from 1 species